CUGGAGAAUCUGCUCCACACAGACCGCUUCUUCAGACAGGACUUUGCUGUGGUCCUCCAGCCUUUUCUGAAGCACGCGGACCCUCCCCGCCUCCCAGACGGGAGCAUCGACAUGUCGUUCUUCACUCACGACUGUUUCCACUUCACGAUAAAAGGACACGAGGAGUUGGCCAAAGGGCUGUGGAACAACAUGUUUCAGCCUCAUUCUGAAAAGACGAUUGUGAACACUUUCUCUGAACCCAUCGCUCUCAUCUGCCCCCCCGCAGAGCAUCCGUACAUCUACACUCGCCCCAUGACCGUGAGGUCCUGCUCCUCCUCUGCACACAGCUCCAU